CAGCAGCAUUAAAGGUCAGGGUCAAUCUCCCUCUUAGACACCAGCUUUGGCUCUCCAUGUGCUCCAGCAGCUGACACUGCCGGAAGUGAGAAGAGAGAAGGAAAUGGCUGGGAACCUCCAGGAGCAUGCUGAUAUGGAAAAUCCCACCACCUCUGUACUUCAGAGAUGCUGCAAUCAUGUUUUCUAAAACAGUGUUAAGUAAGAGCUGGGGAGAAUUAUCCACAAGACACAGAAUUCUUGUAACCUUUUGCUAUCUAGCCACGUAGGGGGACAUUUUUCUCUUCUGUUUAACUUGCCUGUUAUUUCCUCCUUCUGGCAUUUAUUAAUCAGACUGGUUAACCAUUCAGUCCAGCCUAAAAACAGAUCUCACCACAAAUCCUGUUCUCUGUGGUGGACUCAGAAAAGGCUCUGGCUGAACAAACUCACUUCUCCUGUCUUAACUCUGAAGGGCAGAGCUAAAUGCUGGAGAUAGAUGUUCACCAUAAAAUUCACACUACAGGCUUCCUGUUUGGAGCAGCCAGUAGUGCUAGGGACACUAGAGUUUCCAUUUGUACACCAUCUCUGUUUUGACAGGGCCCUUCAUGAUUCAUCAGCAAUUUGGAUGCUUCUGGCUAUGCAGUAUUCACUGCACCCAUCCCAUUCCUGAUAAACAGAUCCAGGAGCUCUAAUCACAGGGGUAGUGUACUCAAUAACCAUUGCUCUUUAAUUGUUUAUGAUCUUUAUCUCUUUCCCUCCAAGGGUUUUUCCUGUGGGAGGACCAGUGUUUCUCUUUGAACUGACUUUUCCUUUCAACAUUUAUCAUUCAGGACUGCUCAAGUGCUGUUUCAGUGCAGAAGCCGCUUGCAAACUAUUUGUAGCAGCUGCCUUUUUGGAAGUUUGCUGUUUGCAGUGCUUGAUCCCUCACUUAAACUACCCAACACUGUCUUUCCAUCUGUGCACAAGUCCCCUGCACCACACACCAUGCUUCUGGGGAGCUGGUGUGCAUCUGGCCUCCUGCCCCUACUGUUUUGUGUCUGACCCUGGGGGAGUAUUUCAGUGUGCUGCAGGACUCCUGAGCAGUGUCUAAGGAGAGGUGAACCACAGCCAGUCAUGAUGUUUGGGUUAGGGGCUGAUACUGGCUCCAGUGGGACUGCCUGCACCCCUAGGACUGCUCCUUCUGCCUAAGAGCUCUGCACAGAAAGCCUCAGAGCACUUAGAACAUGAACAUGUGUUUGGGAUGGAGGAACAAGUGAAAAAUAGCAUGAGGCAGAAAGGAAAGCUACAGAUUAUUUCCAUCAGCAGAGCUGUCGUGUCCCAUGGCUUAUGUGUGUUCUCUUGUAAUAUGGGAAUAAUUACUCGAUGGCUGUCUCCAGUUGUGUCUGAUUAUUAAAAUCAAUAAUGCAUA